rnacentral:siRNA from 1 species
GAUUCUGUUAAUGGGAAUUAGUCU